rnacentral:rRNA from 1 species
UACGGGGGGGGCAAGCGUUAUUCUGAAUUAUUGGGCGUAAAGGGCGCGUAGGCGGCCUGGCAAGUGGAAGGUGAAAUCCCUCGGCUUAACCGAGGAACUGCCUCCCAAACUGCUUGGCUUGAGACCGGGAGAGGUGAGUGGAAUUCCCAGUGUAGCGGUGAAAUGCGUAGAUAUUGGGAGGAACACCAGUGGCGAAGGCGGCUCACUGGACCGGUACUGACGCUGAUGCGCGAAGGCGUGGGGAGCGAACGGG